rnacentral:rRNA from 1 species
GACGUAUGUUCAGAGUUUGAUCCUGGCUCAGGAUGAACGCUGGCGGCGUGCUUAACACAUGCAAGUCGAACGAAGUGGAUGUCUUCGGACUGAAGCUUAGUGGCGGACGGGUGAGUAACGCGUGGGUAACCUGCCUCGUACAGGGGGAUAACAGUUAGAAAUGACUGCUAAUACCGCAUAACCCGCUAGGGUCGCAUGACCCGGACGGAAAAGAUUUAUCGGUACGAGAUGGACCCGCGUCUGAUUAGCUAGUUGGUGAGGUAACGGCCCACCAAGGCGACGAUCAGUAGCCGACCUGAGAGGGUGAUCGGCCACAUUGGGACUGAGACACGGCCCAA